UCCCCUAGUAACGGCGAGUGAAGAGGGAAAAGCUCAAAUUUAAAAUCUGGCGGUCUUCGGCCGUCCGAGUUGUAGUUUAGAGAGGUGCUUUCCGCGCUGGACCGUGUACAAGUCCCCUGGGAUGGGGCGUCAUAGAGGGUGAGAAUCCCGUCCAUGACACGGACUACCAGGGCUAUGUGAUGCGCCUUCAAAGAGUCGAGUUGUUUGGGAAUGCAGCUCAAAAUGGGUGGUAAACUCCAUCUAAAGCUAAAUAUUGGCGAGAGACCGAUAGCGAACAAGUACCGUGAGGGAAAGAUGAAAAGAACUUUGGAAAGAGAGUUAAACAGUGCGUGAAAUUGCUGAAAGGGAAACGCUUGAAGUCAGUCGCGUUCGGNGGNACUCAGCCUUGNUU
rnacentral:rRNA from 1 species